GUGGGGAAUUUUGGACAAUGGGCGCAAGCCUGAUCCAGCAAUGCCGCGUGCAGGAAGAAGGCCUUCGGGUUGUAAACUGCUUUUGUACGGAACGAAACGGUCCUGGUUAAUACCCGGGGCUAAUGACGGUACCGUAAGAAUAAGCACCGGCUAACUACGUGCCAGCAGCCGCGGUAAUACGUAGGGUGCAAGCGUUCAUCGGAAUUACUGGGCGUAAAGCGUGCGCAGGCGGUGCUGUAAGACAGGCGUGAAAUCCCCGGGCUUAACCUGGGAAUUGCGCUUGUGACUGCAGGGCUGGAGGGCGGCAGAGGGGGAUGGAAUUCCGCGUGUAGCAGUGAAAUGCGUAGAUAUGCGGAGGAACACCGAUGGCGAAGGCAAUCCCCUGGGCCUGCACUGACGCUCAUGCACGAAAGCGUGGGGAGCAAACAGGAUUAGAUACCCCAGUAGUCC
rnacentral:rRNA from 1 species